UACGUAGGGUGCGAGCGUUGUCCGGAAUUAUUGGGCGUAAAGGGCUCGUAGGCGGUCUGUUGCGUCGGGAGUGAAAACUCAGGGCUUAACCCUGAGCCUGCUUCCGAUACGGGCAGACUAGAGGUAUGCAGGGGAGAACGGAAUUCCUGGUGUAGCGGUGAAAUGCGCAGAUAUCAGGAGGAACACCGGUGGCGAAGGCAGUUCUCUGGGCAUUACCUGACGCUGAGGAGCGAAAGUGUGGGGAGCGAACAGG
rnacentral:rRNA from 1 species